CCUACGGGAGGCAGCAGUGAGGAAUAUUGGUCAAUGGCCGUAAGGCUGAACCAGCCAAGUCGCGUGAAGGAUGAAGGACCUAUGGUUUGUAAACUUCUUUUAUAGGGGAAUAAAGGUAUCCACGUGUGGAUAUUUGCAUGUACUUUAUGAAUAAGCAUCGGCUAACUCCGUGCCAGCAGCCGCGGUAAUACGGAGGAUGCGAGCGUUAUCCGGAUUUAUUGGGUUUAAAGGGUGCGUAGGUGGGUUUUUAAGUCAGCUGUGAAAGUUUGUGGCUCAACCAUAAAAUUGCCGUUGAGACUGGAAGUCUUGAGUGCAGUUGAGGUAGGCGGAAUGCGUGGUGUAGCGGUGAAAUGCAUAGAUAUCACGCAGAACCCCGAUUGCGAAGGCAGCUUACUAAGCCAUAACUGACACUGAAGCACGAAAGCGUGGGGAUCAAACAGGAUUAGAUACCCGAGUAGUC
rnacentral:rRNA from 1 species